GAGAGCUGAGCAGACAGAGCAGGUGGAAGGCAGCUCGCUUGCUCGUUCCCCGGACCUGGCUAUCCCCAGCCUCUUGCCUGCAUCAGCCUCUAGCCUGGGACCUGUCCUGAUGCAUCCUUUGAUGCUGGGUCAGCCUCUUUGCCUCCAUCAAACUGGAAACCAGAGUCACUCACCUGGAUAUUCCCCCAUCACACCUCCUGGAAACUUGGGACCCUCAACCCCUUGCGUGGAAUGGACUCUCCUCCUGGACCCUUGACCUUUCACCCUGACCAGACCCUUGCCCAGGACCCUCAGCCUCUCAGCGGAGAGCCUGGGGUCUGGGUUAGUUCAGCUCUGGGUGUGUAAUUUGCUGGCCUCCAGGUGUCUGCCUGUCACCUGUCCUGCCAGCUGGAAAAUCAGGUCUUCCUCGUCCCUGUGUCUCUUUCUUGGAGGCUGCCCCCAUUCCCAGGGGCAAUUGUCCCUUUCAGCCUUGGUGUUUGGCUCUCUAAGAAUUUCACUGCCACUUUCUGCUCCCCUCCCAUCACUUUCCAUGGCCAUGUCCUAGUUGGGCCUCAGUUUGUCUGUCCUCCCCUUUGGGAGGCAUGAGGCCACCAUGGGGCUCACAGACUCUGGGGUGUGGAGGAAGAAGCUCCCUCUGCCUGCUGGGCUUCUUGCCGUGGCGUUGGAAGUUGGCAGUGAUGCGUCGGCAUCUCCUCCGCUGUCUCUCUGGAGCUGCUCUGCUCCUUGUCACCAUGGCUUUCCUCUCCAUGAGGCACCGUGGCACUCAAGAGGUGGUCCGCUACCAAGGGGUUGGUGAUGGGACAUCGGAUAUCCUGGAGCACCAGGCUAAAAUGUCCCCAGCGGAUGUGCUGGGAGACAGCAGCAGGAGACAAGAGCUGAAAGAGCCACCAGGCCCUUCCAAGGUGGGCUCUAGUGUGCGGAGAGGCCUGGAGCUUGGAGAGGUUUUCAUUGCUGUGAAGACAACCAAGAGGUUCCACCAGACCAGGCUGGAGCUGCUGCUGGACACUUGGAUAUCCAAGGCAAAAGAGCAGACCUAUGUCUUUACUGAUGAAGAAGACGAAGCCCUGCAGAAGAGAAUGGGUGACCAUGUGAUAUUCACAAACUGCUCCACAGAGCAUAGCCACCCAGCCCUCUCCUGCAAGAUGGCAGCCGAGUUCGAUGCAUUCUUGGCCAGUGGCCUGAGCUGGUUUUGCCACUUGGAUGAUGAUAACUACCUAAACCCACAGGCCCUCUUGAAGCUCUUGUCUUCCUACUCUCCAGCCCAGGACGUUUACAUUGGGAAGCCCAGCCUGAACCGGCCCAUCCACGCCUCCGAAACAAUGCCCAACAAUCAGACGAGGUCCGUGCGCUUCUGGUUCGCUACUGGAGGGGCAGGAUUCUGCAUCAGCCGCAGGCUGGCCAUCAAGAUGGCACCUUGGGCCAGCGGCAGUAACUUCCUGAGCACCUCGGAGCUCAUCCGCCUCCCGGACGACUGCACUGUGGGCUACAUUGUUGAGUGCAAACUGGGCGGGCGUCUGCUCCCCAACACGCUCUUCCACUCUCACCUGGAGAACCUUCAGCUGAUCCCCAGGCCCCAGCUCCUGCAGCAGGUCACCCUCAGCUAUGGUGUCUUUGAGAAGAAACUCAACACUGUUGAGCUGGCCGGCCCCUUCUCCCAGCACGAAGACCCCUCCAGGUUCCAAUCCCUUCACUGCCUUCUCUACCCGGACACUUCCUGGUGCCCACGGCCCGUCUGAGCUCCCACACUCAAAGGGUCCCACUCAGGCCAGCGACUCUCAGUUCAUGUUGUGUGGGGGGGCACUCAGGGAGCGCUGGGUGCUCCCUCUCUCCUUCACAGUGACCACCCUGGGGCCACAGCUAGCGAUAGCUUUGUGGAUCAGUGCUUGCUGAGCACGGCACAGGGUGAGAAGGUACUAUCAUCCAGGGUGUCCCUUGUGACAAUAGCAGCGGCUGUGCGGCUGGGGCGGGACAGCUGUGCUCUGCAAAGCACACAUGCCUCUCGCUUUGUUGGCACCCGGCGGUGCAGGCUGGAGAGUCACAACAACCUCGCUCCGGGAUAGAUCACCACAGCUCCGAUGCCAGCCCAGCCCUGCUGCAGCUAGAAGGCUGGGAGGAUGAAGCCAGAGCAGUCAGUUUCACUUCUGAUUCUAGGUGCCUGCCCGCCUCCUGCAAGGCAAUUAAGCACACGGGGAAUUCUAAACAGCAUCUGAAAGCACUGGACAAUUAAAGAAGUACUGCCUCGCAGCACCGAUCUUAUUGCUAGACUCGUCUUACACAACUGAGCUACAACCUAGCUUGACCAGCUUGCAUGUGCUAAAGCACCACCUUAGUCGUGACUAGACCGGUAAAGGCUGCCUCCAGAACCCAGUACAGAUGAGCCCUAGAAAUCCAGUUCAGGAAAGAUUGAAAGGAGAAAACAACAGGCGCAACGCACGAAAAUCAAAGCAUGCUCCCGUGAGGACAAGAGUGAGAGGGAAUAAAGCCUGCGACUCAUUAAGCACGGUGAAGAGAGGAAACUGCAUCUAAAUCACAAAUGUGUUAACAAGGUUGAUUGCCACUAUCCCACAUUCAAACCACAUUGAUGAGUUGUGAUUGGUCAGACAAGUCACACGCUUUUUUCCCUGCUAUCUGAUUGAGUGAAGAUGCAAGAAGCAUACUUGUGUGUGAACAGACAUUUCGGUCUCUAUGGUCAAUCAAUAGCCUAGAAAGGGCACCGAAGAAAUAAAUGAGAGUCCAAUCCUACUGCCUUUGAAACGGAUGGGAGUUUUGCUGUUGAUUUCAAUGGGAGAAGGACUGGAUCCUUUGCCAUUAGCUAUGGGAGAAGCUCAUGAGAGGGUUGAAAUCCUACAAAGAACAUCUACUGCUCACACGUCUACUGCUUCUCACCUCCCGCUCCCACAGCCCUUCAAAAAGUUUGGGAAACUGAGGCACAGAGUGGUAUGGGGACUUACCCAACACCACACAGAUGCCCUCAUUCCUCCCUGUAAGUCCAGGAACCUGUCCCCUCCAUGGAGGCUCUGGGGCAUGCCAGGGAGGGUCAGAAGCAGCCUGUGUCUCACCCAGGGCUCCAUUCCCAUUCAGAGAGAGCCGGGUAUGAAGGAGAAGACUGGGAUAGACUGAACAUUGGGGCCAAGCUCCUCUUUCACCCCGGCAGAAGGAGGAAUGGCUGGGUCCAACUGGGGAAGCCAUGAGUGGGAAGAAGGCUGGAAUGGAAUGCACCAAACAGCACCUGCCUCCCAUUAGGCAUACGUCACCCAGAGCCCCUCGUCCUGCACAAAUCCAUGGCUCCAGGCAGGGUCCUGAUCACUCUCUCCCAAUGCUGGAGCUGCCUGCGAGGGAGGUUCAGCGAAAAUAAUGAACUAAAAGCCAAGGCCCAGAGAAAGCUGAUUCAUCCUCCGCCCAGGGCCAGCGGCCGGCUCCAAGCAGAGCUGUAAAAUCAAUCUGUCACUGCUCACCGCAUUAUAGAUCAGCGGAGAGAUUCUGACUGCAGCGAGAGGCUGAGCCUGGCCUCCUCAUGGGUCCCUCCUUCUUUCCCAGGCAGAGCAGGAACUGCGAAUGCAGCCCCGACCAAGGACAGAGACCGAUGGACAGAUGGAGGGAGGGAGGGAGAGAUGAGAGAGCUCAGCUGGAAUGGUGAUCAGAAUCCCUCCCAAUGUGACCCCUUCCCCUGCCACCAUUCACCAGGCUCCAAAGGCAGAUUACGCUGUGCACACAGCCACUUUCCUGCCCUCCCUCUUCCCACUCAUGGGGUCACACCUGGAUCAAGAAGUGUGUGUGUGUGAGGGGAGGGAGAUAGGGUGAAUGAUUUCCUCCCCUCAUGCUCCUUUGGGAAUGGCUGCCCCCUCCCUCCCCAAACACCCUGAGGGGGCUCUAAGUACUUCAACCCCCCUUCUCCAGAGUGUCAUACAGAUGCCUUAAUGGGGCCCAGACCCUACCCCCUUGUCUGCUUACUGAUCUUGGUGGAGGGCACGUUUACAAAACGGAGUGCUGAGGGCUGUCUGGAGGGCUAGGCUACUAAUGGUGACAGUGGAUACAGGAGAGGAGAAGGCCUUGCUUAUUGGGUGAUGAACUGGGAGAGGGACUGUCUCUACAACUGACUCGGGCAGAAAGUGUGGAAAACAUUCUUAACUUGUGUAGUCUAUUCAGCCAUGGGAUAAUCCCCUAGGGACUUUACAAAUGGAGUGGACAAAGCCGUGAAGAACAUAUUGCAUGGAAGAAUUCUGCACUGGACCAGAGGUGGACCGGAUGGGGCUUAAAAUAUCUUGUCCAUUCAUAGUCCCUUGGAUUCUCAAGUCUGUGUGUGUGCACAGUGGGUAGUUUUCCUAUAGUUGUUGUGAAUGGGAAAGGUAAAGUAGUUUUCCUGAAGCUGGAGAGAGAGAAAGAGAGAGAGAGAAUCAUUCCUUGAGGCAAUUGCCAAUACAAUAUGUGUGUGGAGGGCAGGUAGUUGGUUUCCCUAGUGCUGGUGCACUUGUGUGUUUUGGUUAUGGGAGAAAGAAUAGCUUUUCUGCAGCUGUUGCAUAUGUGUGGGUGAGGGCUGGGGCUACUUUUCCUGCAGCUUUGAAUCUGAAAGUAAAGGAAGGGGCUAUUUUCUCUACACUUGUUGCCUGUGUUUGUGUAUGUCUGAGAGAUGGGGCGGCUGGGUCAAAUGUCAGUAGUGUUGCAACCACGCAGCAGUGGCUCUGAUUUAGUAUUGGACCACUUCUUAAAAGUGGUUGGGCCCUGGCCCCCCUGGCUCUCCCCCCUGUGGAACUCUGAGCACAUGUAAAAACCUUGCCCCCUAGCCCUCCCUAAUUAGUGCCACUGGGAGGGAUGUGGGUAGUUACAUCUAGUGCAUG